GGGGCCAUAGCUCAGCUGGGAGAGCAUCUGGUUUGCAUCCAGAAGGUCGUCGGUUCGAUCCCGACUGGCUCCACCA
rnacentral:tRNA from 1 species